rnacentral:rRNA from 1 species
UACGGGGGGGGCAAGCGUUGUUCGGAAUUACUGGGCGUAAAGGGCUCGUAGGUGGCCAACUAAGUCGGACGUGAAAUCCCUCAGCUUAACUGGGGAACUGCGUCCGAUACUGGAUGGCUCGAGUUUGGGAGAGGGAUGCGGAAUUCCAGGUGUAGCGGUGAAAUGCGUAGAUAUCUGGAGGAACACCGGUGGCGAAAGCGGCAUCCUGGACCAACACUGACACUGAGGAGCGAAAGCCAGGGGAGCAAACGGG